AUACGGAGGACGCGAGCGUUAUCCGGAUUCAUUGGGUUUAAAGGGUGCGUAGGCGGUUUGCUAAGCGGGAGGUGAAAUGCCGGCGCUCAACGUCGGAAGUGCCUCCCGAACUGGUGGACUGGAAUGACUCUGCCGUGGGAGGAAUGUGUAGUGUAGCGGUGAAAUGCUUAGAGAUUACACAGAACACCGAUUGCGAAGGCAUCUCACGAAGGGUUGAUUGACGCUGAGGCACGAAAGCGUGGGGAUCAAACAGGAUUAGAUACCCUGGUAGUCCACGCAGUAAACGAUGAUGGCUAACCGCUGGUUUAUUCGGAUCAGUGGCCAAGCGAAAGCGAUAAGCCAUCCACCUGGGGAGUACGACCGCAAGGUUGAAACUCAAAUGAAUUGACGGG
rnacentral:rRNA from 1 species